UGGAAGUUGGAUUAUAGUCCACACAAUUAAAAAAAAAAAAAAGGCAUUACUAACUUAUACUUUACUCAUUCGUGCCAACUGCUCCCCCCAGCCGAGUGCUUCCUCUGCUGACCCAGGAGGUGUGUGCACAAAUACUUUGAAAACUUGCGGACCUACAGUCAACAGAUACCAAACCGAGAGGGUGACUGCUGAAAGAAAAAGGAGGGAUUAACCAAGAUUCUCCACACUCUUCAGGACCUGCCCUCAAGUCAUGAUUUUAGGAUACCACUCGUUAAGUGACAUGACCAAGAACUUAGGCUGACCUUCUGCUGAAACAUGAACAUCCUCAGAGAGAAGAGUCCUCUCCUCCACAGAAUCCUUGUCCACCUCCCGAGCAAUGUCCCACCUGGUCACUGGAUGAGGACUCCUUCUGUAGCCUCCAUCACUUCCAGAAAUACAGACAGCCUUUGGGAGAAUAAGUGUCAGCACCAAGAAAAUGGAGGGGAAAUAUAG
rnacentral:lncRNA from 1 species